rfam:Oryza barthii chromosome 7, whole genome shotgun sequence.
AAAAAGGCAAACCCUGAGUUUCCGUGUCCAACGUUUGACUGUCCAUCUUAUAUGAAUUUUUUUAUAAUUAGUAUUUUUAUUGUUGUUAUAUGAUAAAACAUGAUUAAUACUUUAUGUGUGACUUAUCUUUUUAAUUUUUUUCAUAAUUUUUUCAAAAAGAUGGACGGUCAAACGUUAGACACGGAAACUCAAGAUUUGUCUUUUU